CACUGAAGGUGGGUUCACUAUCUUCGCAGCGGGGUGUGAAAGCCAGUUCAGCUCCUGAACCCCACAAUUGUUCAACAGCCUUUUGGUGCCUGACCGGUUUCCGAAGACAGAAUCUGGACGACAUGGACAUUUUCUUUCGGCUCUCAUAUGACAGAGGGAACAGCAUUGUGUCUGGUUUAAGCAGGUGAGCUCUUCAAACGCAGGCCACAGGCAAGUAUGAAGCCUGAACACAGAACGAUAGCCACAAGACAGUGGACCAGGAUGCCGUGGCCUACCACACGAGGUCUACAGCCAAGAAGAAGAGGAUGUCUCUGAGGAGGAUGAGCACACCAUCCACACAGAAGCCUUCUCCCCAGGCCUUGGGGGACAUUGUGGGCUGCAGAAUUUCUCACGGAUGGAAGGAAGGUGAUGAGCCCGUGACCCAAUGGAAGGCCAUCAUUCUAGAUCACUGAGAAACGCCAUGUCCUACCUGCUGAACAGCUUUCCUUACAUUGACCAGUUUCGAGGGUGCACUUUCCAGAUUCAUUAUAUAGUGGAUUAUAUUGAUGGACUUUCAGAAAUUGAACCAUCCCUGCCUCCCACUAGAAAUUAAUAAUUGCACAGCAUAAC